rnacentral:rRNA from 1 species
UACGUAGGGUGCAAGCGUUAAUCGGAAUGACUGGGCGUAAAGCGCGCGUAGGCGGAUCAUCAAGUCGGGGGUGAAAUCCCGGGGCUCAACCCCGGAAUGGCCUUCGAGACUGGUGGUCUUGAGUUCGAGAGAGGUGAGUGGAAUUCCGAGUGUAGAGGUGAAAUUCGUAGAUAUUCGGAGGAACACCAGUGGCGAAGGCGGCUCACUGGCUCGACACUGACGCUGAGGUGCGAAAGCGUGGGGAGCAAACAGG